ACUCGUUUUUUUCUUCUUCUUCUUCGUCUUUGCCGUUGGUGUAGUCUCGUAGUCGCAGUCACCGUCAUUGCUGCCGCCGUCGUUGCUUAUAUCAAUAAAUUCUUGUUGUUUUUCCUUUGAUUCCUGGUUCGUUGUUGAUACCAUCCACUCAAGACUUGCAAAUUUCUGUAUAUUGUUUGUUUGUCCAUUUGUCGUAGUCUCGUAAUUUCGUGGUCGGAAAUUCCUGUUUAUGACCUUUUUUUUUUCUUGCUCCCAAACAAAAGACAGACUUAAUCAUUCCUUUUUCCAAUACAAAAAAAAAAACCAUCUAUCGCCCGUCAUCAUCAAAAAAAAACCUACAUCAACUUCAGCUCUAGCAUCAUCAUCAUCAUCAUCAACA